AGUGGCAUAGCUCAAUGGUGAGAGCAUCGUCCUUAUAAGACGGGGGUUAUGGGUUCGAAUCCCAUUGCCACUAC
rnacentral:tRNA from 1 species